GGGACUUUUGGUAUAGCAUUGGAAAUGUAAAUGAGCUAAAUACCUAAUAAAAAAUGGAAAAAAAAAACAAAUAUAUAAAACUACAUAGACAAUAUUCUGAAACUGAAGAAUCAUGGUUGAAAACAUUGGAAAUGAGAACCUUGACUCACUGUUUUGUGAGCAUAGGCUAAAUGGAGCCUAAACAUUUAAUUGAAGUUAAAAUUAGAGUUAAUGGUACUAGAUAUUUAAUCAACGAACACCUUAAAAUACCUAGCAAGACGCAAUGGGAAGAGUGCAAAUGUGAGCACAUGAGUACUUUGGUAGUCUCUGUCGCCAGAAUAUGUCUGUGCUAGAGUAGGUCCCGUUGAGCUGUAUGCAUCAACACACUUCUGCUGAGGAGGAUCAUAUAACAUCACACAAAGUAGUUAGGAAACAGCAGGCUCUCGGCAGGAGGCAGAGAGAUAGCUCAGAUAGCAUAUUAUCAGACCUGGUGAAUGGUGUAGCAUUUUCAGAUGAAUGUUGUUUCUAGCUAAUCUCCUGCUUACAUUUGAGAAACAAACUCAUUUGUGCUCCAUCAGUAAGGAGUGGGAAGGACUUUUUCAUAGGAUAAUAAUCCAAACAAAUCUAUGAAAAGUCAGUACAUUAUGUAUGAGGAAGAUGAAGGAAAAACUCAAGGUCAGGAUCUUCUAAAGAUGGAUGGUUCUAGACACAAAAAUUGUUACCGAGAUCUUUGCAAAAUAGGCCCCGUGGUUUAUCAUCCAGGUGUUCUGUCUCUGGUAUAUGUGGCUUGACCACUGUAUGUGUGAGAGAGUGUGUGUGUGUGUGUGUGUGUGUGUGUGUGUGUGUGUGUGUAUGUGUGUGUGUUCUGUUUGUCUUCUUUCUGUUAUCCUGUUACUCCUUAAUGGUAUUGCUUUAUAACAUUUCUGGACCCCUCUCCAUUUGAUUUACCCACAGCUCUAAGUCUUUAACUGCUUAAUCAUUUUCUAGUACAAGUUUAAGAUUCUGAAAUACUGCUUUAGCUCAGUUUUCUAUUGUGCAUGUGCUAAACCAAGGUUUGUCUUGACUACCUGUAAGCUAGGGCUCACUCUCAAGUAAUGAGCCCAGUUCUGGUGAGAUGAAGGAAAGAGAUAGAUCAUUUAGGCACUGUCCUGUUCACAUAGGCCAGACUCUUCUGGUAUUCUGGUAAUAGUGAAACUAAUUAGCACCAUCCAUGCUAUAUAUAACUGGAGGUAAGGCUUGCC
rnacentral:lncRNA from 1 species